rnacentral:rRNA from 1 species
GACGAACGCUGGCGGCGUGCCUAAUACAUGCAAGUAGAACGCCGUUGCGCCCGGGUGAGUAAAGCGUCGGUAAAUGCCUCAUAGCGGGGGAUAACUAUUGGAAACGAUAGCUAAUACCGCAAACUUUGAGCUGGACCUGCGUUGCAUUAGCUAGUUGGUGAGGUAAGGCUCAACAAGGCGACGAUACCUAGCCGACCUGAGAGGUUGGUCGGGCAAACUGGGACUGGGACACGGCCCAGACUCCUACGGGAGGCAGCAGGAGGGAAACUUCGGAAAAUGACGGAAGUCUUGCUGCGCACCGCCGCGUGAGUGAAGAAGGUUUUCGGAUCGGUAAGCUCUGUUGGUAGAGAAGCGGUAACUAACGAGAAAGGGACGGCUAACUACGUGCCAGCAGCCGCGGUAAUUC